GAAACGCGAUAGUUAAUGUGAAUUGCAGAAUUCAGUGAAUCAUCGAGUCUUUGAACGCACAUUGCGCCCAUAGGUAUUCCUUUGGGCAUGUCUGUUUGAGCGUCAUUACAACCCUCAGCUAACCGCUGGUUUUGAACCUGAACGGGUGACACCGCGCCGGUUUUAAAGUUGUAAGCUCUGCUGGCCGCUCUGCCCAACCAGAACAUAGUAAGCACUACUUGUCCGGGUGAAGCUGAACGGUACGGCCUGAACAAAACCUACCCACUCUCAAGGUUUGACCUCAGAUCAGACAAGGAUACCCGCUUAACUUAAGC
rnacentral:misc_RNA from 1 species